AGGGCACCACCAGGAGUGGAGCCUGCGGCUUAAUUUGACUCAACACGGGAAAACUCACCCGGCCCGGACACUGGAAGGAUUGACAGAUUGAGAGCUCUUUCUUGAUUCAGUGGGUGGUGGUGCAUGGCCGUUCUUAGUUGGUGGAGUGAUUUGUCUGGUUAAUUCCGAUAACGAACGAGACUCUAGCCUAUUAAAUAGAUCGUUGGCUUACAAACGCCGGCGGGACUUCUUAGAGGGACAGGCGGCGAUUCAGCCGCACGAAACAGAGCAAUAACAGGUCUGUGAUGCCCUUAGAUGUCCGGGGCCGCACGCGCGCUACACUGAAGUGAUCAGCGUGCAUUUUGAAACCUACUCUGUCAAGAGUGGGGAACCCAAUGAACCUUCUUCGUGAUUGGGAUAGGGGAUUGUAAUUAUUCCCCUUGAACGAGGAAUUCCCAGUAAGCGCGAAUCAUAAGUUUGCGCUGAUUACGUCCCUGCCCUUUGUACACACCGCCCGUCGCUACUACCGAUUGAAUGUUU
rnacentral:rRNA from 1 species